CCACUCCCACACUUUUCCCGGGUAGGAGAACUGGUCGUAGAGCCGGAAGGGAGGGAGCCUUCGCGUUUGAGACAGCGGCGGCGUUUCAGACAGAGCGGUCUAGUGCCAGUGGAGCUGGCCAGCUUCUGCAUUCGGGCUCCAUCCCGAGGUGGAGAGAAACCCCAGGAUUCUGGUGGCCCUUGGUAGGCGCAGAGUCGGAUAGCCAAGUACCCGUUGCAGACUGAAAUAGCCGAGCCAGUGAGGGCCACCGGAAGCCCCGCCCCUGGGAGGAGUCGGGAAGCCGCGCCGAGGAGGUAGGAACCCAAAGAGGCGGCCCCUGGGGUGGAGUCCGCCGGCCAUGGCCACACCCCCGGGGGCCGGUCCCGCUGCUCUUCGCUUUGUAGCUGCUGCCAGCUGGCAGGUCAUUCGCGGACGCUGCGUGGAGCAUUUUCCCCGAGUAUUGGAGUUUCUGCGAUACCUGCGCGCUGCUGCCCCUGGCUUGGUUCGCUACCGGCAUCAUGAACGCCUGUGUAUGGGCCUAAAGGCCAAGUUGGUGGUGGAGCUCAUCCUGCAGGGCCGGCCUUGGGCCCAGGUUCUAAAUGCCCUACAUCACCACUUCCCAGAGUCUGGACCUGCAGUGCGGGACCCCAAAAUCACAAAGCAGGAUCUGAGGAAGAUAUCAGAGGCUCAGGAAACCUUUUGCCAGCAGGUGAAGCAGCUGGCAGAAGCCCCUGUUGAUUUGGCUUCGAAGCUGCAGGAACUCGAACAAGAGUAUGGGGAAACUUUUCUGGCUGCCAUGGAAAAGCUGUUUUUUGAAUAUUUGUGUCAGCUGGAAAAAGCACUGCCUAUGCUGCAGGCACAGCAGCUUCAGGAUGUGCUGAGUUGGAUGCAGCCUGGAGUUUCUAUUACUUCUUCUUUUGUCUUGAGCCAAUAUGGCGUGGACAUGGGGUGGCCACUUCCAGAGUGCUCUGCUACUGAUGCAGUGAACACGACAGAGCCUUCAGAGCAGAGUCCUCCUCAGCAACCAAGACCAGCACUCCACGACCCUCUGCCAAAAGCCUCUCCUGGCCCACUGCUUCCUCAGGGACCAGCCUCAAGGAAGCAUCCAGAACCUCUGACCGGCCACCAUUUCAAUCUGGCCCCUCUAGGCCGGCGAAGAAUCCAGUCCCAGUGGGCACCCACUAGCAGAGGCCAUAAGGAGCGCCCCACAGUCAUGCUGCUCCCCUUCAGGGAUGUGGGUUCACCAGCCCAGGUCACAUCUAAGCCUGGGAAGGGCAAAGACGGCACACACCCAGCAGAUCCAGCAGGUGCCAUGGGCACCAGAGCACCCUUGACCGGGAAGUCUAGGAGCCCGUCCAAGACCCUGGGAGGAAGAGCUGUGAAGGGGAAUCCAAUUGACUCAUCUGCCUCGGAGCAAAAGGAGAACUGCGACAUGGACUGCCACAUGAAACCACUAAGAUUGUCAUUAUCACCUCCUAGGAAGUCAGUUUGUCCUCCAUCUCUGUACAGCUCUGACAUUACCAUAGGGGACCUGGUUUUGGACUCGGACGAGGAAGAAGAUAGCCAGAGCGAAGGAAGGGAACCUCUGGAAAACUAUCAGAAGACAAAGUUUGACACCCUGAUCCCUACCUUCUGUGAAUACCUACCCUCUUCUGGCCCCAGCACUGUGUCUAUCCCCUUCCCUGACUGUACAGACAGUUCUAGACUCUUGUGAUAAGACUGAAGUGCCCACGACAUUCUGCCUGUCUUCUUUCUCUCAUACAGUUUAGUGGGGAUAAAGUGGAAGCCUGGGCUUGGGUUGCCUGACUACAAUGCUGAAGUUUCUUUGUAAUGCUUGAUAAUUAAAUUUUGGACUUGUUAAAACAUUGUCUUGGUGCAAGGAAGGGGAAUGAAGCCUUCUCUAAGGUCAGUGUAGGUCACUCUUUAGAAACACAACCAGCCUCUCUGGGGCUGGAAGUGGAUCCUUUUGCCAUUUUACCUCCCUUGGAGAGUGCCGUUCAGACACGCCCAAUUACCAGGGCUAAGAGCCUGGAAGAAAAACUUCCUUUUGCUAUUCUGAAAAUAAUUCUGUGGUCUGAUGCCAGAAUAUACUUUGUAAAUUCUCAUGCUGCCAGGUUCCUUGGGGGUAGCGGCUCUAGAAUGGAGAUAUUUCACAGGAAAGGUACUCACUGUGGCUGACUCCAGUGGGUCAAUGCUUACUCCUGCACUUGCCCUGGGGUAGCACCCAGAUGCCAGCCUUAUGCAGAAAACCCCAGAAUCUUAAAGUCAUUGGGAUCUCUCUUUAUUGAGGUAUUUAAAGUAUGUAAACAAUUCCAUGCUUUGUAGAUAUUCAAAGGUCUAUUUAAUGAAUCUGAUUAACAAAACAUGAUUCUAAAAGCCUACCUCUACCAGAACCAAGGCCACAUAAAACAUUUAUGUAUGAAUCAGCCUCUCUUCUUUUUAAUCAUCUUCAGAAUGCUGGGUCCCCAGAUUCCCACUUGAUUCUCUCAACUUCCUUGUCUCAGCCUACCUGCCUUGCUUCCUCCCCACCGAGUGCCCUCAGCAUUUUGCAUGUGCAGAUAGAGAAGUACAGAAUUACUGCAGGAGCUGUAAGGAGAGGAUAGGAAAUGACCAAGUAAUAAUAGCCUGAGUAGCUGGGAUGAGAGGAGCCCACUUGGGAGCCCUGUGGUGGAUGCUAGAGCCCUGGGAGGGCAGAACUGCUCAGGUCUAGCUCUCAUCACUGAAGAUCGGAUUCACCUGCUGGGUGACACGGAUGAAGGUAGUUCUCCGGCUCAGCUCCUUCAGCUUAGCUGCUCCCACAUAAGUGCAGGUGGAGCGGAUGCCUCCAAGGAUGUCUCGGAUGGUAUGUUCCACGUCCCCUUUAAAGGGCACCUCCACUGUCUUUCCCUCUGAGGCCCUUAGAAGAAGAAAAGCUUGCUUACCUUUUCUCACUGGAUUCCUUACCCUGGUCUCUAGCAUUUAGUCCUUCCCUGUUCAUCACUUUUCUUCCAAAAACUGUACCAUCUAUCUCCCAGCAACCAUGAGUUCUGCCAUCACCCUUCUUGGAAAGUCAUGCUUUCCAAGAACCCUUGGCCUCUGGCCACCACACCUACCUGUACUCAGCCACACCCCCAGCAUACUUCUUCAUGGCCAUUUCGGAGCUCAUGCCGUAGAAGAGCUUGUACUUCCUGCCAUUCCUCUCGAUGAGCUCACCACCUGACUCACUGUGCCCAGCCAGCAUGCCGCCCAGCAUCACGAAGUCAGCCCCUGCCCCUGCCAGCACCAGCGAGAGGGAUCCUCCUUACGUGCCCUCCUUACCGAAAGCCUUGGCCACAUCCCCAGGACAGCUGCAGCCUCCAUCCUGCAAAGUAAGGAGCACUGUGAAGAGACAGCAAGGAUGCCCCAAGCCCUCUAGGAGGUCCCAGCGGCCCAGCUCAAUGCUGACAGGGACCCAGGAACCCUGAUCCAAACUCUACCAGAACCUCUAGAUAUGGAUGAGAACCCAGAUGUUUGGCAGCUUCAUACCCUACCCUGCCCAUGACCUUACUGAAAUGAUGUGGCCUUUGAGGCCAUGAGCAGCAUCUGCACACUCCAUAACUGCACUUAGCUGUGGAUACCCCACUCCGGUCUUCUUCCGGGUGGUACACACGGAGCCUGAGAAGAAUGUGACAAGAAUGAGGAUGAAGUUCUCCACAGGUGUCUGCCACUGGAGGGGUGGCCAGUGACCCCCCAGUGAACCAGCUUACCUGGUCCAAUUCCCACUUUGAUGAUGUCAGCCCCAGAGAGGAUCAGCUCUUCCACCAUUUCCCCUGUUACCACAUUCCCUGCCUGGGACAGAACCAUCAAAACAGCAUUCUCAAGGUCUCCUCUCAGGAAAGAGAGGAGGUCAUGUGCUUCCAACAUUAUUACAAAGAAGAGUCCCUGGGCUCCUUUUUUAGAUGAGUCACUUCAAAGGACCCUGCUUCCCAAGCUGAGGUAAGGGGGUGAGUGGCCAGUGUUACUGUUGUACUAGGGUAAAGUGGGGGUCCAACUGGAAUAAGUUCACACUGGAUUUAUAGUAGAUUCAUCUCUCCCUCCCCACCAAGACACCCAAACAUAUCCUGUGCUUAAGUUGUUAGGUCAUGAAACCUCUCUGGCUUCAGGGGAAGUGGGAGGACAUGGUAAUGUAGGCUAAGUACCCACCUACCCAAUUGUAUUUGCUUUUGAUGAACAGGACAGAGAGACCCCACAAUGCUGUGAAGAAAACAAGGCCUUGUCAUCACUCCCCUGAGCUUGUAAAAAAAUAAAACUGCGUUUGAUACAACCCCUUUAAUGUAA